GUUUAUUGAGGAACCCGAAUGAGGGAGCUAAAAAAAGAUAUACUGCAUUAUCAGAAGUUGAGAUAUCUCUGGGGUCCCUCUACUUGUGUCAUUUGGUAAGUUUUGCAAUGGUUUUGUUCAUGAAGGGAAGACAUCAUAAGACUAUUCUGGGACAGUUGACACAAACACUUGGUAAGCAGAAAUGACUAAAUGACCAUCAGAUGCUGCAUUAAGUGGAGAGAAUGGUAUGUUCUUUUUCCAAGUGAAUAUUUACAGCCUCCUCUCUACCAAUGUCCAAUGUAAUAGGCCAGGUUGAAGAUGGUAUCACCAGUCUACGGCUUAAGUCAUGAACGGCUCCUUUAAGUUGUCCGCAUAAUUCACUUAGACACCUCAACUAAGACUUGUACUUAUUGG
rnacentral:misc_RNA from 1 species